AGGAUGUAUAGCAAUAGCUAAUUGCACCAACAAAUAGUUGAUGCAAUAUCGACUCUGUCGAAUAAAAUUCUAGGUAGAAUUAUGAUAAUGACAUUGUCUGCCUAUGUGUCUUGACCAAAUUACGUGCCAGCAGUCGCGGUAAUACGUAGAAGACUAGUGUUAUUCAUCUUUAAUAGGUUUAAAGGGUACCUAGACGGUAAAUCAAGCCUUCAAGGGGACUAAUUUACUAGAGUUACUUGUGAGGGGGUAUUAAAGUACUAAUGGUGUAGAGAUGAAAUUCUGUCAUACCUCUUUUCGUAAGAAAGAUUACGGCACAGGUAUAGGCGAAAGCAUCCCCUAAUGUGAUAACUGACGUUGAAGGACGAAGGCUUUGUGUCGCGAACAGGAUUAGAUACCCCAGUAGUCAAAGCAGAAAAUGAUGAAUGUCAUAGAUUAGACAUAUAAUAGUUUAUUCUAUAAAUGAAAGUGUAAGCAUUCCACCUCAAGAGUAAUUUGGCAACAUUGGAACUGAAAUCAUUAGACCGUUUCUGAAACCAGUAGUGAAGUAUGUUGUUUAAUUUGUUAGCUCUCAAAAAACCUUACCACAAUUUGAAUAUUUAUAUCAUUUUAUUUAUCUUUUUAUUUUUUCUUCAUUAUUUCAUUUUUUAUUAUUAAAAAAAGAUGAAACAAUAGAACAAUUAAAUAAUAAGAUGGGUAAAAAAAGAUAUCUUUUACAAGGCGGUUGCACGGCCUGUCUUCAGUUAAUUGUCGGGGA
rnacentral:rRNA from 1 species